GGCUCAGUAGCUUAGUUAAUAAAGCACUUGUCUAGCGAAUAAGGGUCGUGAGUUCAAAUCUCACCUGAGCUG
rfam:Aedes albopictus isolate Foshan contig133559, whole genome shotgun sequence.